rnacentral:misc_RNA from 1 species
GGAUUUCAGUACUAGAAAGUUUGAGCCAUCAUGGACGAUCAAUGUUUCAUUUGUGAUUUAGACGACACUUUUAGUGACACAAACAAAGAAUGCUCAGGAUGGAGAAGAAGCACAACUCUUUUUUCAUAUGAAUUUCACUUCUAUUCAACUAUAAACACCCCAUAGCAGGUACGAAAUAAUCUGAUUACAGCAUAUAUAUGAAAAAAGAGUUGGGUAUUGGAGCUUUUCUGUUCUCUCUCAUUACAUGAUUUCUAACUUGGGUAUUGGAGCGAAACUCCCCACACUAAACCGAAAGCCCUCCCUAAGCUUUUCUUUGAUUACAAAUUACUUGCUCGGCUCGGUUUCAGUUCAAUUUCAGAUAGUCCUUGUUAUCAAUUCUUAUGUUCAUUGAAAGUCCGUCAGAAUUCUCCAUUUCUCGGCAUAAACAACUUUCACACACACCAGUUCUAUUUUUGCGCUUCUAUUAAGAUGAUUUUGCCAAAGUCUUAUUAAACAUGGUACAAGGAAAAGAAAAAGUCCACAUGUGAUGUAAGAUUGAUACAUAGAGCUACUAUCACUAAUCACUUUCAAUCUAUGAGAAAAGAAAAGCACCAGGGACUUCAUUGGUCCUCCUUAUGUUCUUGGCUUUAUGAUGGCAUGCAAUGGUUGAAGCUUGCGAGUGGUGAGUCCAACAAUGUCGACAUUUUCUUCCUCUCCUUCUUUCAGUCUCCACUCAAAUUCUUGAACGAGUCUGCCAAUUGAUGUGCAUCCUACCAACAAUGCCUGAGGAGCACCUGCACAUGCCCUUUUUCCAGCUCCAAAAGCCAUUGUUUUGUGCAAGUCCAUGGGGUCAUAUUUGCCAUCAAGAAAUCUAUCUGGCUUCCACUCUUCAGGUUUUUCCCAUUGCUUUUUAUCCAUGUUACAUCCAUAAAUAUUAAUAGCAAUCUGCAGUAUACAUUUUAUGUUAAAUUUGCUAACUGUUAUUUCAGUAAACAAAGAAAUUGCUUGGACAAAUUGACAAACCUCACUUCCAGCAGGAAUGAAGUAACCUCCUAAUUCUGUAUCUUCAUGCGCAUAUCGCAAAGGUAUAACCGGAGCCGGACUGUAUUUUCUGACUGUUUCAUGGAAAACAGCAUUCAAGUAUGGCAGUUGAGACAAGUGCUCCUCUGUGAUCUUUUCAGACCCACAUACAUUUUGGAUUUGCUUAAAGAGUAUGUCCUAUCAUGUCAAGGGGAAUCAGUAUAAGGUUUUGCAAACAAGUACCCAGGGUUAAAAUGUAGAUUAGCAAUUGAAACAACCUGGCACUUUGGAUUCUUUGCAAGUUCAUAUAUGGCCCAUUCAGUAGUGACCAGAGUUGUAUCUGACGUCUCAAUGAUUGCCUCCCAAACCAACAUGCUGAUUUGCUUCUCCGUAAGCGUGCCUUCGGAUAAUAAGAAGUCGAGAUAACUAUUAAGCUCCUCUCCUGAGGCAAUUCGUUUCUUUUGCUCCUUUAUAAGAGCAUUCAUCACUGCAUGCCUGCGUAAAUGCAUUUGCUGUAUUUUCAUCUCCCAUCUUUUGUUAGGAAUCCAUUUCAAAUACGGGAAGAAAUCUCUCCAAUCCACAUCAAUUGCCCCCUCCAUUGGAUCAAGCACUAAAACCGUAAAAAUCUCCUCUCUUGACAAAGUGGACUUAAAUUCAUCAACAUAAACAGAUUGCACAUCUUUUCCCAGUGCUUCCUUCAGUGCUAUUCCAAAAAGUUGAGACUCAAAAAUUUCCCUGAAGUUCACUGCUUCUUCUGGAGAGGUCUGUACAUGAGCAUGCAACUCGUUUGAAAUAUUUUCAAGCAGGGUGUCCCUGUGGCACCGGUGUCUCCUCUGAGCAUUAGUUCCCAAUACAUUUGUAAGUAUAUAACGUUUCACCAUCUUGUGAAACUCAUCAUAAUCACUUGUUGCAACCAUACAUUUGUCCUGGGUAAGCACAGUCAAGGCUUUUGAUAGUUUUCUUGUUGAGAUGGAAGAAUAUCUAGUCACCAUGGCCUCUUUGGCAACAUCUGUUGAAUUGAGAACAAUAACGGUGGAAGCACCGGUUCUAAUAGAAUAGAUUGGUCCAUGAAUCUCAGCCCACCUAGUGAAAGUCUUGUGGGGUUUCUUCUCCUUCAGUUGAAGCAAAUUCCCUAUAACUGGCCACCCAGGUACUUCUGGCACAGGAGAAAGUCUGGCAUUUCUUUUCCUUUGAUCAGAGAUGAAUCUUCUCAUAAAGAACAUGGAGAUGAGCAAACCACCAACAGCCGCAGGGGCGGCAUAGGGCAUUGCUUGAAAACUUGGAAGGAGAGUAGAGGUUACAACAUCCAUUGCUUUCGAUCAAAGAUCAAGAAAGGGCUACUUUUAUUUUCUUUAGAUGCUUGUGCACUGCUGCUACUCAUAACACCCAUGACAUGGCCACUUUAUAUAGAGUGAGAAAGGUGCCAGAGUCGUAAAAAGGAAAAAUAUCCACCAUUACCUUAUUGGGAGGCGCAAUCAAGAUUUAUUUUUAUACAGCGGUAUUAGAAAUAUAAGGAAAAAUUAUUAAUUUGAUAAGCUACUCGUUUGGUAAUUGCCAUAAACUAGACCAAAUUAAACUAUUGUCGGAUUAUAAGUGUGGUUGAGGCAUCGAAUAUACCCACUAAUUCACAUGAAGUUGAUGAUAGUGAUGAAAUCUUUCGAUCCUGUCUGUUUCUGUUGUUUUUGAGCUAACGAGGCAGGCAGGAUCUGGCUGAUUCCUGCGUUGGAGUUUUGUUCUGCCUUAGCUUAUGCUUCCUUGACGUUUAGUAAAGCUUAGGCAAAAGAUGAAUGGAUGUGCCACCCACCAUCUGCAGGGCUCUUAGCACAAGGCUAUGGUAAACUGAAUCAAAAUAAAAAAAAUUCAGAUAAAAAAAAUCCCCAGGAUGUUGGUUGGCUUUCUUU